CAUCUCUGGGUUAGGGGUGAAUAAACCUUUUAGACGCAACGGGACUGAGAGACCCCGUGAAGCUUUACUGUAGCUUAAUAUUGAUCAAAACACCACCAUGUAGAGAAUAGGUAGGU
rnacentral:rRNA from 1 species